GAUGAACGCUGGCGUAUGCCUAACACAUGCAAGUCGAACGAAGUCUUCGGACUUAGUGGCGGACGGGUGAGUAACGCGUGAGAAUCUGCCUUCAGGAUGGGGACAACAGUUGGAAACGACUGCUAAUACCCAAUGUGCCGAGAGGUGAAAGUUAUAUCGCCUGAAGAGGAGCUCGCGUCCGAUUAGCUAGUUGGUGGGGUAAAAGCUUACCAAGGCAACGAUCGGUAGCUGGUCUGAGAGGAUGAGCAGCCACACUGGGACUGAGACACGGCCCAGACUCCUACGGGAGGCAGCAGUGGGGAAUUUUCCGCAAUGGGCGAAAGCCUGACGGAGCAAUACCGCGUGAGGGAGGAAGGCUUUUGGGUUGUAAACCUCUUUUUUCAAGGAAGAAGAAAGUGACGGUACUUGAAGAAUCAGCAUCGGCUAACUCCGUGCCAGCAGCCGCCGUAACAC
rnacentral:rRNA from 1 species